AUUGAACGCUGGCGGCAGGCUUAACACAUGCAAGUCGAACGAGCGGCGGACGGGUGAGUAAUGUAUGGGGACUGCGCGAUAGAGGGGGAUAACUACUGGAAACGGUAGCUAAUACCGCAUACUAUCGGAUAACCCAUAUGGGAUUAGCUAGUUGGUGAGGUAAUGGCUCACCAAGGCGACGAUCCCUUACUGGUCUGAGAGGAUGUAAAUCCCAACUAGGACGUAGAGACUGCCACAACUCCUACGGAGGCAGCAGUGGGGAAUAUUGCACAAUGGACGCAAGCCUGAGGCAGCCAUGCCGGUUGUAUGAAGAAGGCUCUAGGGUUGUAAAGUACUUUCAGUCCGGAGGCGUUACCUACAGAAGAAGCACAGGCUAACUCUGUGCUAGCAGCCGCGGUAAUAC
rnacentral:rRNA from 1 species